UACAAUUGAGACAGGUGGUGCAUGGUUGUCGUCAGCUCGUGUCGUGAGAUGUUGGGUUAAGUCCCGCAACGAGCGCACCUUGUGUUAGUUGCAAACAGGUCAAGCUGUGCACUCUAGACAGACUGCCGUGGACAACACGGAGGAAGGUGGGGAUGACGUCAAAUCAUCAUGCCCCUUAUGAUCUGGGCUACACACGUGCUACAAUGGCCGGUACAACGGGCAGCGAAGGAGCGAUCCGGAGCGAAUCCUAAAAAGCCGGUCCCAGUUCGGAUUGCAGGCUGAAACUCGCCUACAUGAAGUUGGAGUUGCUAGUAAUCGUGGAUCAGCCAAGCCGCGGUGAAUACGUUCCCGGGCCUU
rnacentral:rRNA from 1 species